UACGUAGGUGACAAGCGUUGUCCGGAUUUACUGGGCGUAAAGAGCGCGCAGGCGGUCGAUCAAGUCGAGUGUGAAAGCCCCCGGCUCAACUGGGGAGGGUCAUUCGAUACUGAUCGACUCGAAGGCAGGAGAGGGUAGUGGAAUUCCCGGUGUAGUGGUGAAAUGCGUAGAUAUCUGGAGGAACACCGGUGGCGAAGGCGACAUCCUGGACCGGUAUUGACGCUGAGGCGCGAAAGCCAGGGGAGCAAACGGG
rnacentral:rRNA from 1 species